rnacentral:rRNA from 1 species
GAUGAACGCUGGCGGCGUGCCUAAUACAUGCAAGUCGAGCGAACGGACGAGAAGCUUGCUUCUCUGAUGUUAGCGGCGGACGGGUGAGUAACACGUGGAUAACCUACCUAUAAGACUGGGAUAACUUCGGGAAACCGGAGCUAAUACCGGAUGAUAUUUUGAACCGCAUGGUUCAAAAGUGAAAGACGGUCUUGCUGUCACUUAUAGAUGGAUCCGCGCUGCAUUAGCUAGUUGGUAAGGUAACGGCUUACCAAGGCAACGAUGCAUAGCCGACCUGAGAGGGUGAUCGGCCACACUGGAACUGAGACACGGUCCAGACUCCUACGGGAGGCAGCAGUAGGGAAUCUUCCGCAAUGGGCGAAAGCCUGACGGAGCAACGCCGCGUGAGUGAUGAAGGUCUUCGGAUCGUAAAAAUCUGUUAUUAGGGAAGAACAUAUGUGUAAGUAACUGUGCACAUCUUGACGGUACCUAAUCAGAAAGCCACGGCUAACUACGUG